rnacentral:piRNA from 1 species
UGGGAAAAUCUUGGUAGUUCAAAGGAAAC